GUAGGUGGCAAGCGUUGUCCGGAAUUAUUGGGCAUAAAGCGCGCGCAGGUGGUUCUUUAAGUCUGAUGUGAAAGCCCCCGGCUCAACCGGGGAGGGUCAUUGGAAACUGGGGAACUUGAGUGCAGGAGAGGAAAGUGGAAUUCCACGUGUAGCGGUGAAAUGCGUAGAUAUGUGGAGGAACACCAGUGGCGAAGGCGACUUUCUGGCCUGUAACUGACACUGAGGCGCGAAAGCGUGGGGAGCAAACAGGGAUUAGAUACCCUGGUAGUCCACGCCGUAAACGAUGAGUGCUAAGUGUUGGGGGGGUUUCCGCCCCCUCAGUGCUGCAGCUAACGCAUUAAGCACUCCGCCUGGGAGUACGGUCGCAAGACUG
rnacentral:rRNA from 1 species